UGCAAUAUCUGUUAUUACAGAUGACUAUAUAUACAUAUAUAAGUGUAUAUAUACAUGUAUUUCCCUAAGGUCCACUUUACAGUGGAUCUUGACGUCAAUGAGUCUUGACAACAGCUCAAAAAUGAAUCUGCUGGGAUGUUUUUGAUCUGGAACUAUACUGAAAUCACUGCAGUGUACGGAUUUAUGGGUUGACCUACAAAUGGCUUUACUUGUAGAAUUUUACCCUAUGUUUUAAAACCAAAACUCUUCUAGCCAUUUCAGAAUUUACUGAGGCUUCUGCAUAAAUAUUUAAUUAGGUAAACAUCUGAAAUGCAGAUAUUUAAGGAAGCUAAUAUUUUAUUUUACAUCAUUCACUCAGGUAUAAUAUGGGCCAACAAUGGGACACAAUGGCCAUUAACUUCAUACUUUUUCUACAAACCUCAUCUAAAGGACGCAGUGAGGGAAGGAUAAUUCACAGCGGGGAUACCUUUGAUUUCCUCAGAUGCCACUUCAUAUCAGAAAAUUUUAAACAUCAGUUUGCAGGAACCAUCUGUCAUGUCCCCACCCCCACAGCACUGGGGAAGACAGAUACUGAAGCCCACCUGUCAGUCCUGUUAUCCUCGUCUAGAAAAGAAUUUACACACUUCAGAGAUAACACAAAUUACAGUUACAGAGAAAUCCUAAGAGAAUUUCUAAGGUGGAUCCAAUAGAGCUCUUCAGCAAUUGCCCUGAAAACUUGCUGCAUUUUGUAAAAGAUGACGCCUUCCCUGUGGAACCAAAAGCUCUUAAAAUUCUAUACUAGGUCUGCUCUUCUGAGUUGUAUCAGGUACCUUACUAUUUGUAUGGGAAAAAUUUUAUUCUGUAAGAGACACAAAUAGAAUUUAUGAAAAAUAAUUUUUCACUGCUCUAUCUGCCAGGCAGACAUGCCAAAAGCUGCUGAAUGUAGGUGUACACCAAAUAAUUUACAACUGAGGUUGUCCAGACAAAGACUUGAUAAAGAUUUUUGCAGAUUUUAAAGAUUUUAAAGCCUGAUAAAGGUUUUGCAAUGGGACAAAGAGAUACUAUUUUCUUGUGAUAAAUAAUUGUGCAACUGGUGCCUAUUAGGUGUCUUAAAUAUCAGAAACAAGUCCAUGUUUGCACUGUGUUUCAUAGUUUAGCUAGUAUGAGAUCUUACCCUUAGCCAUACACAGAAGGGCAGUAUUCAGUGAUUUUUCCCUCUCAUGUCUUUUUCUCAUUUCUCAAUAGCAUUAUUAUGCAAGGUAUAUGUGUACUAUAUCCUUUAUAGGAGUUUACAUUUGUAUAGACUUGAUGGUCAUCUACUGGUUUAUCUAGAUAAUACGAACACCCUGAAAUUCAGUUACAAUUUAAAAGGAAAACGUCAGUAUCCUGGUUCUAAACCAGAUGAUCUAGGUCUUCUAGAAGCUAGAUUUAGACCUGCAUCUCUCCUUGCAAAGCAACUUGAAAAAAACAAACAUUUUUUUUCACCUCUUUGUAGGACAUUUUUAACUAGCAGCUCAUUUACCCCCAAUGUCCUAACACUGUCCUAUAGACAUUAAUUUCUGAGCACAGGGCAUUGUCAAAUCAGGGGAUCAUAAAUCCACUGCAUUCCCCUCAUCAGUCUUGGCAGUAGCAUCUUCACAGUACUCCUGCGUGUCAGUAAAGUAUGACCUUCUCUCACUGAUUCGUGUGGAUUAGGCUUAAUUGAUCUAUGUUUUUCCAAUGGGCAUUUUAACUUUCACACAGUAAUUUUUUCAAUAACUGAUGUCCGACCAACUGGUCCCCAGUUUCCAGAUGAAAGAAUUACAUUUGAUGCUUUAUCAACUGAAAAAAAUGAACUUACUUAUUUUUAAUGCUUUUAUAAUCUUUUUUAUUUUUAGCAUCUUUUAAAUCGAUUAAAAAUUAAAUAUGUUUACCGUUUUUUAAAAAUUCUAUUCACAAUCUUUUGUAUAAAAAUGGAGACUGACUCUGAUACCAUUGUUGAAUUAUUGACUCCAUUCUGACGCCAAUCUGUGCUCCAGAAAUGCAGUAGUUUGAUGUGAAAACUGAUUACACUAUUUGGCAGCUUGAAAUGGGAAAUUUGUCAGGCCUGGUCUUUAAUACAGUUCUCACUGUGUUUAAUUAACCUGCUAAUUACUGUGUAGUGCAACAGGCUAAGUUUUAUUUUGUGCUGAAUAUUGUUUGUAUGUACAGCAGAUCAACUGUUAGUUGCGAAGCUAUCUCUGUAUUGUUUGAUAUUUCUGCCACUUCUUAAACAGAUUAUAAAGUGCUGUUGAAUUACGUGGGGAUAGAGGGAGGGUUGUAUUUCUUAAUUUUUGGCUCAGCAUUUUGGUUCAUACUAUUUCUAGAAAUUCUUAAUUCUUAAAUCUUGCAGUAGUUAUUACUGUGUAUUUGAGAAAUAUCACUGUCUAUUACUUAUUUAGUUUCUUGCUGGUAGAAAUUCCAAAUAGUUCAUUUCUAUGCCUUAAAUAAUUGUGUGUGUGUGUUUUUCCUGUAUAGUUAUGACUUCCCUCACAUACUGUUCUAUAUGAGAUUUUUUUUUUUUUCAUUCUGCAUUCAAUUAAUAUGGCCUAAUUUGUUAUCUGUUUUCCCCCUUAUUGUGCUUUCUGAAGACAUAUAUCAUAACUUGAAAGCCAGUUAUAUUGUCAUUAAAGUAGAAUGAACAUGUUUGGAUAUAAUAAUAAAUAGCUCAAAUAUUCACACA